UCUAAUAACAGUAUAUUACUAAUAUAACCCUGUUCUUCUUUCUUUCAGUUUCUUCAAUCAAUCUCCAGUACAUAAGUUGGUAAAAGAUGCUGCCUAUGAUAUGUCAGUAUCCGGUCAUCUCCCGCCUCAGGCUUGAUCUUAUAUACAGUUUUUUCAAUCAAUCUCCAGUACAUAAGUUG